rnacentral:rRNA from 1 species
UACGAAGGGAGCUAGCGUUGUUCGGAAUCACUGGGCGUAAAGCGCACGUAGGCGGAUUGCUAAGUCAGGGGUGAAAUCCUGGAGCUUAACUCCAGAACUGCCUUUGAUACUGGCAACCUUGAGUCCGGGAGAGGUGAGUGGAACUGCGAGUGUAGAGGUGAAAUUCGUAGAUAUUCGCAAGAACACCAGUGGCGAAGGCGGCUCACUGGCCCGGUACUGACGCUGAGGUGCGAAAGCGUGGGGAGCAAACAGG